rnacentral:sRNA from 1 species
GAAUCGGAGCUUGCUCCGAGGAUAGUGGCGCACGGGUGAGUAACGCGUGGAUAACCUGCCCUGGUAUCUGGGAUAACAUCUCGAAAGGGGUGCUAAUACCGGAUAAGACCACGAGCUCUUUGGAGCUUGCGGUAAAAGGUGGCCUCUGAAUAUGCUACUGUAUCAGGAUGGGUCCGCGUACCAUUAGCUAGUUGGUGGUGUAAUGGACCACCAAGGCGACGAUGGUCAGCUGGUCUGAGAGGAUGAUCAGCCACACUGGAACUGAGACACGGUCCAGACUCCUACGGGAGGCAGCAGUGGGACUCCUACGGGAGGCAGCAGUGGGACUCCUACGGAAGGCAGCAGUGGGACUCCUACGGGAGGCAGCAGUGGGACUCCUACGGGAGGCAGCAGUGGGGCAGUUGGCUCAGAACGAACGCUGGCGGCUGGCUCAGAACGAACGCUGGCGGCUGGCUCAGAACGGGCGAAAGGCGGCUGGCUCAGAACGAACGCUGGCGGCCCACUCUUUCUUCCGGCAGCAGGAAGACUCCUACGGGUGGAUCGNUGUGGGAAUUUCUAGAAGAUC